rnacentral:rRNA from 1 species
AUUGAACGCUGGCGGCAGGCCUAACACAUGCAAGUCGAGCGGAUGAAGGGAGCUUGCUCCUGGAUUCAGCGGCGGACGGGUGAGUAAUGCCUAGGAAUCUGCCUGGUAGUGGGGGAUAACGUCCGGAAACGGGCGCUAAUACCGCAUACGUCCUGAGGGAGAAAGUGGGGGAUCUUCGGACCUCACGCUAUCAGAUGAGCCUAGGUCGGAUUAGCUAGUUGGUGGGGUAAAGGCCUACCAAGGCGACGAUCCGUAACUGGUCUGAGAGGAUGAUCAGUCACACUGGAACUGAGACACGGUCCCGACUCCUACGGGAGGCAGCAGUGGGGAAUAUUGGACAAUGGGCGGAAGCCUGAUCCAGCCAUGCCGCGUGUGUGAAGAAGGUCUUCGGAUUGUAAAGCACUUUAAGUUGGGAGGAAGGGCAGUAAGUUAAUACCUUGCUGUUUUGACGUUACCAACAGAAUAAGCACCGGCUAACUUCGUG